CUCUAACUCACCCCAGCUUGUGUGCAGCCCCAUCUGCCUGGGACUCCUCCUUCCAGACAGGUAUCAACCCCCUCUUACUGCUCCUCUGCCUUUCAUGCUUAGCUCUACUGCCCUUACAAUGGCACUUGUGGCUUUCAGGCAUAGCAUUUUCUUAAUAUGUCCCUUGGACCAGGAACUAGUCUGAAGGCUCUGCUACUGGAAUGCCCAAACAAACUAGGCAGGACAGAACAGUUCUCAAUGGAACUAGUAG